UGUGAUGUAGCUCAGUGGUGGAGCACUUGCCUAGCAUGUAUGAGGUCUUGGGUUCAAUCCCCAGCACCACAC
rnacentral:tRNA from 2 species